rnacentral:tRNA from 1 species
GGGGAGUUACUCAAGAGGUUUAAGAGGAUGGUUUGCUAAAUCAUUAGAUCAAGAAAUUGAUGCGAGGGUUCGAAUCCCUUACUCUCCU